CCUACGGGAGGCUGCAGUGGGGAAUAUUGGACAAUGGGCGAAAGCCUGAUCCAGCCAUGCCGCGUGUGUGAAGAAGGCCUUCGGGUUGUAAAGCACUUUCAGUGGGGAAGAAAGCCUUGGGACUAAUACCCUCGAGGAAGGACAUCACCCACAGAAGAAGCACCGGCUAACUCCGUGCCAGCAGCCGCGGUAAUACGGAGGGUGCGAGCGUUAAUCGGAAUUACUGGGCGUAAAGCGCGCGUAGGCGGUCUGAUAAGCCGGUUGUGAAAGCCCCGGGCUCAACCUGGGAACGGCAUCCGGAACUGUCAGGCUAGAGUGCAGGAGAGGAAGGUAGAAUUCCCGGUGUAGCGGUGAAAUGCGUAGAGAUCGGGAGGAAUACCAGUGGCGAAGGCGGCCUUCUGGACUGACACUGACGCUGAGGUGCGAAAGCGUGGGUAGCAAACAGGAUUAGAUACCCGGGUAGUC
rnacentral:rRNA from 1 species